GACGAACGCUGGCGGCGUGCUUAACAUAUGCAAGUCGAACGGAAAGGCCCUGCUUUUGUGGGGUGCUCGAGUGGCGAACGGGUGAGUAACACGUGAGUAACCUGCCCUUGACUUUGGGAUAACUUCAGGAAACUGGGGCUAAUACCGGAUAGGAGCUCCUGCUGCAUGGUGGGGGUUGGAAAGUUUCGGCGGUUGGGGAUGGACUCGCGGCUUAUCAGCUUGUUGGUGGGGUAGUGGCUUACCAAGGCUUUGACGGGUAGCCGGCCUGAGAGGGUGACCGGCCACAUGGGGACUGAGAUACGGCCCAGACUCCUACGGGAGGCAGCAGUGGGGAAUAUUGCACAAUGGGCGGAAGCCUGAUGCAGCAACGCCGCGUGCGGGAUGACGGCCUUCGGGUUGUAAACCGCUUUCGCCUGUGACGAAGCGUGAGUGACGGUAAUGGGUAAAGAAGCACCGGCUAACUACGUG
rnacentral:rRNA from 1 species